rnacentral:rRNA from 1 species
AACACCUUAUUUGAUUUUCUUCGGAACUGAAGAUUUGGUGAUUGAGUGGCGGACGGGUGAGUAACGCGUGGGUAACCUACCUUGUACAGGGGGGUAACAGUCAGAAAUGACUGCUAAUACCGCAUAAGACCACAGCACCGCAUGGUGCAGGGGUAAAAACUCCGGUGGUACAGGAUGGACCCGCGUCUGAUUAGCUGGUUGGUGAGGUAACGGCUCACCAAGGCGACGAUCAGUAGCCGGCUUGAGAGAGUGAACGGCCACAUUGGGACUGAGACACGGCCCAAACUCCUACGGGAGGCAGCAGUGGGGAAUAUUGCACAAUGGGGGGAACCCUGAUGCAGCGACGCCGCGUGAGUGAAGAAGUAUCUCGGUAUGUAAAGCUCUAUCAGCAGGGAAGAAAAUGACGGUACCUGACUAAGAAGCCCCGGCUAACUACGUGCCAGCAGCCGCGGUAAUACGUAGGGGGCAAGCGUUAUCCGGAAUUACUGGGUGUAAAGGGUGCGUAGGUGGUAUGGCAAGUCAGAAGUGAAAACCCAGGGCUUAACUCUGGGACUGCUUUUGAAACUGUCAGACUGGAGUGCAGGAGAGGUAAGCGGAAUUCCUAGUGUAGCGGUGAAAUGCGUAGAUAUUAGGAGGAACAUCAGUGGCGAAGGCGGCUUACUGGACUGA